UGCAAGUCGAGCGGAUGAAGAGAGCUUGCUCUCUGAUUCAGCGGCGGACGGGUGAGUAAUGCCUAGGAAUCUGCCUGGUAGUGGGGGACAACGUUUCGAAAGGAACGCUAAUACCGCAUACGUCCUACGGGAGAAAGCAGGGGACCUUCGGGCCUUGCGCUAUCAGAUGAGCCUAGGUCGGAUUAGCUAGUUGGUGAGGUAAUGGCUCACCAAGGCGACGAUCCGUAACUGGUCUGAGAGGAUGAUCAGUCACACUGGAACUGAGACACGGUCCAGACUCCUACGGGAGGCAGCAGUGGGGAAUAUUGGACAAUGGGCGAAAGCCUGAUCCAGCCAUGCCGCGUGUGUGAAGAAGGUCUUCGGAUUGUAAAGCACUUUAAGUUGGGAGGAAGGGUUGUAGAUUAAUACUCUGCAAUUUUGACGUUACCGACAGAAUAAGCACCGGCUAACUCUGUGCCAGCAGCCGCGGUAAUACAGAGGGUGCAAGCGUUAAUCGGAAUUACUGGGCGUAAAGCGCGCGUAGGUGGUUUGUUAAGUUGGAUGUGAAAGCCCCGGGCUCAACCUGGGAACUGCAUUCAAAACUGACAAGCUAGAGUAUGGUAGAGGGUGGUGGAAUUUCCUGUGUAGCGGUGAAAUGCGUAGAUAUAGGAAGGAACACCAGUGGCGAAGGCGACCACCUGGACUGAUACUGACACUGAGGUGCGAAAGCGUGGGGAGCAAACAGGAUUAGAUACCCUGGUAGUCCACGCCGUAAACGAUGUCAACUAGCCGUUGGGAGCCUUGAGCUCUUAGUGGCGCAGCUAACGCAUUAAGUUGACCGCCUGGGGAGUACGGCCGCAAGGUUAAAACUCAAAUGAAUUGACGGGGGCCC
rnacentral:rRNA from 1 species